rnacentral:rRNA from 1 species
AGACUCCUACGGGAGGCAGCAGUGAGGAAUAUUGGUCAAUGGACGAGAGUCUGAACCAGCCAAGUAGCGUGCAGGAUGACGGCCCUAUGGGUUGUAAAACUGCUUUUAUAGGGGGGAUAAAGUGUGCCACGUGUGGCAUAUUGCAGGUACCCUAUGAAUAAGGACCGGCUAAUUCCGUGC